CAGGGAUUACCUCAGUAACGGCGAGUGAAGCGGUAACAGCUCAAAUUUGAAAUCUGGGUCUUUCAGGCUCCGAGUUGUAAUUUGUAGAAGAUGCUUUGGGUGCGGCCCCGGUCUAAGUUCCUUGGAACAGGACGUCAUAGAGGGUGAGAAUCCCGUAUGUGAUCGGUGGCUUGCGCCCGUGUAAAGCUCUUUCGACGAGUCGGGUUGUUUGGGAAUGCAGCUCUAAAUGGGUGGUAAAUUUCAUCUAAAGCUAAAUAUUGGCCAGAGACCGAUAGCGCACAAGUAGAGUGAUCGAAAGAUGAAAAGGACUUUGGAAAGAGAGUUAAACAGUACGUGAAAUUGUUGAAAGGGAAGCGCUUGCAACCAGACUUGCGCGGGGUUGAUCAUCCGGGGUUCUCCCCGGUGCACUCGGCCUCGCUCAGGCCAGCAUCGGUUUCGGUGGUUGGAUAAAGGCCUUGGGAAUGUGACUUCUUUCGGGGAGUGUUAUAGCCCUCGGUGCAAUGCAGCCUACCGGGACCGAGGACCGCGCUUCGGCUAGGAUGCUGGCGUAAUGGUUGUAAGCGACCCGUCUUGAAACACGGACCAAGGAGUCUAACAUCUAUGCGAGUGUUUGGGUGUCAAACCCAUACGCGUAAUGAAAGUGAACGGAGGUGAGAACCCUUAAGGGUGCAUCAUCGACCGAUCCUGAUGUCUUCGGAUGGAUUUGAGUAAGAGCAUAGCUGUUGGGACCCGAAAGAUGGUGAACUAUGCCUGAAUAGGGUGAAGCCAGAGGAAACUCUGGUGGAGGCUCGCAGCGGUUCUGACGUGCAAAUCGAUCGUCAAAUUUGGGC
rnacentral:rRNA from 1 species